UUUAUAAUGUACUGUCAAAUAACCGUUUUGACAAUAAUCAGAUUUUUUUUAUCAAGAUCACUAAACAUUAAAACAUUGACUAGUGUCUAGUGUUAACUAUUCAAAAGUGAUAAAAAAGAUAUUAAAUCGCAGUUAGAAGGCAUUAUUAAUUGCAUGCCAAUUUAUGUCUAUAUAGAUAAUUAAAUAAAUAUGGAUUCUAAUAAGAAAACUGUUCACUCUGACAGAAGUGCCAAUUUUGGUGAUGCAGAGAUAAAACUCUUGCUGGAUCUAGUUGUAAGAUUUAAAUCUGUCAUACUAAACCGCAACAUAAAUGCAAAUACAAAUUUGGCUAAAGAAAAAGUAUGGCGACAGAUAGCAAAAUUAUUUAAUAAAGAAAAAAUAAAUGUGCAUAGAAGUUCUGAUAAUUUGAAAACAAAAUGGUUAAAUUUAAAAAGAGAUGCAAAGAGAAUACACAAUAAUUCACCUUGUGAAAUGAAUGAUGUGCAGAAACGAGUAAUCCAGCUAUCAUAUGAGUCAGUCAAUGAUCCCAGUCUUCAAGUAGAAAUCUCGGAACUGGAUUUAUAUGAAGACUCAGAACCCGAGGAGUUAUUAAAUGAUAACACAAAUGAUACAUUUUUGGAUGACAAAGGGAGUUCUUCUCAUUCUGUUUCAGAUAAUGAUGACGAAAAACCGUUGAAGUCGAGGGACCGUUGCUACAAGAAACGAAUUAGAAAGAAGUCAAUGAAUUUUUCAGCACAAGAGUGUAGUCUUCUUUUGAAAUUGGUUAAAGAGGAAAAACAUAAUCUCUUUAAUGUGGGUAUGUCAAGGGAGAUCAUAAGGGAGAAGUAUUUAGCUUGGGAGAGGAUAGCAAAAAGGUUUAAUGCAAUCAGUUGGAAGAAGAGACCAGUUCGAGUAUUAAAAACUAAACUCGAGAAUAUGAGGAGACUUAAUCGACUCAAAAUUAGUUUAAGUACAUCCAACACAGAACAGGAGGAAAAGGAACUGAAUGUGAAAAAAGAGCCAAGUGUAGAGUAUAAUGUAGAUUGCAGUGAGUUCAGCCAGUCCGUGGAUGAAGACCGAAUAAACGAACGAAUAUCAUCACCCAUACUUAAUGAUAUGGACCCGCUCAGAUUUGUUCUCAACUCGGAUUCUGGACUAGGGUCAACCUGUUCUCAAAAUGAUACGGACCUAAUAAAAUUGAAGAUGGAAUUAAUCAACUAUCAAUUAGAAACUGCGAAAACCACUGCUGCUUCACGACAACGCUAGACCACACACUGCGAUACAGAAUGCUACCAAAUUAGAAGGGCUUCAAUUGGAAUGUCUAAGACAUUCACCGUACUCCCCGGACCUUGCUCCAACAGAUAACCAUUUUUUUUUAAAUUUGGAUAACUUCUCGCAAGCUGGAGAGACAGCGCGUAGAAGACGCUAUAAGGGCAGAUAAAGAAGAACAAGAGUCUCGAGCGAUUGAAAAUUCGUUGCGCUUGCGCACAGCGAGGCUUAAAGCUUUAGCUGCUGAAAGGAAAUUAAACGAAGAUCAUCAAAAUCGUUUAGGAUAUACAGAACAAGAAGUAUUAGCGAUGGAAUAUAUAAAAAUUUCUACGAAUGUUACUUAAUAAAUUAUUAUUGUCAAUUUA